UUAUGUGUUUAAUUUUCAGCAAUCUAAUUUGCAAAUUGCAACAAAUAUGUAAAUUGCAAAUUGCUCCACUGUGCAGCAAUGUUGCUAGGUUUGCUACGGUCAUGUAGCAUUUUGCUGCAGUUUAUUUAUUUGCACUUCUGUUUGCUUUUGUUGUGCUUUGUUUGCACUUUGUUUGCGAAGCGCGCGCGUUGCAGCAGCAGCUUUUGUUGCAUGCCACAAGGAGUCGAUGCUGCAGCAGCACUUUCACUCACGUCUCCACACACACACACACAGAAAUUGUGGGUGUUUGCUGCCUGCUUGCUUGCUGGCUGGCUCGUCUUCUUUUUGUUCGCAACAUGUUGAAAGCGAACGCCAUGUGAAACGAACCGCUGCCGAACCUGGCCGUCGCCAGUCACGAACCGUUGCCGCUUGUCAGUUGCGUAGCAAACGUCUAGCGUGAAGGUUUAGCACCAGCGAGAUUCCAAAACGUCAACAAAAAAACAAAACGAAUAUAUUGUGUACAAACCGCCGGCAGAAUUUCCUAGCACCAGCAGCAGCAGCAGCAGCACGUGCAACAACAACAACAACUACAACGAUUGGCAACUGGCAACAAGCAAUUGCAACAAAUAUCAACAUCAACAACACAAAAGCGUCCCGUUUGGAUGUUUUAGCUCCCGCUACCAUUCACCCACCUUUAAAGUGGGCGUGCAACACAAAAAAAAUUCAGCAGAAAUUUACAAAACCAAAACACACACACACACACAAAAAAAAAUAAUAUAAACCGAGAAAAAACAAAAACCAAAAAGCUAAAAAGCAAUUAAAAACGUAACAAAUUGUGCCGUAAGUCAAGUUGGGGGCACUCGCCCAACUUCCCACCAAAAAACAACAGCAACAACAACAACAUCAAGUAAAAAACAAAAAAAUUAUAUAUAAAUACCAACAAUAACAACAACAACACGAAGAGGAGAAAAUAUAUAUAUCAAAAACCCAACGCAUCAGUUACAGGAGCAGUAAACAACAAGCAAAAGCAAAAGCAAAAGGUAAUUCGCGAGAAUUAAAGCGAAACUCGCUCUAAACUAUAAACAAUUUAAUUAAUAUUUUUUAAUUGCUUGACUACCAAAAAAAAAAAAAAAAACGAAGCGCGAAUUUUGUUAACUGAAACUCGAAGCACGCACUCGAAAAAAAAGAAAAAAAUUAUCAAAUAUCAUGCAUACGCCAAGUGCGCCAGAGAGAAUUUUUGAAAUAGCGUUGCAACUGGCAACCGAAAAAAAACAAAA